UUGCGCUUUUUGCACUUUAUAAGAGUUCUGCGAGAUUUUUUUUCUCACAGUGAUCUUUUUCUCACAGUCCAUACAAUCAAAGAAAUGUGACAGUUGUGUCCGAUACAAGCUUUUCUUUCACGCAUAUUUCCAACACGAUUGUUUUUGUUGAUGAAGUACGUUCGAAGAGCGACGGCGAACUGUUUUGAAUCUGCAAGUACAAAAAUUGCUUUGGAAGUUAAUAUCUUUUGGACCUGGAAUCAUCGGCAGUGCGGCAUAAAAUGGACAGGAACUCGGAGCUGGGAGCUGCAUGGGAUUCGGAGAUAAUCUGUUAUGUUGCUGAUUUAUCUACAAGCCACAGGUUCGGAUGUCUACAGUAACACAAAACAAUCAACUCUUGGUUUUCGGAUAUAAAAAAGGUGGAGUGAAAGUCGCUCUUCAACAAAAUGCUACACCAGAAUCUCACAAGCCCAGGAGCGCCCAGGAGGAGGCCAUUGAAGAGGUCACAAACGACAAAUAUUCAAGGAAUAGUGAAAAGUUAUUCUCGAUGUACUUGAA